rnacentral:rRNA from 1 species
AUGGUGCCUCGUAACAAUGAUACUGGAAAUGGUCAGACUCCACAACAAUUGCGCUUACCACGAACGAAGGAUGUUAUUGUAAAUGGAACCGUUGUAAAGGUCAAGUACUACCACACCUACAUGCUGCAUCCGCCACCUCGUUUUUCUCACUGUUCUAUCUAUAACAACUGUGUGGAGCGUUUUGAUCAUCACUGUCCUUGGGUUGGUCAAUGCAUAGGACUGCAUAAUUAUCGUUUAUUAUAUAUGUUUGUAUUCUCGACCACACUACUAUGCCUCUACGUGUCUGGGUUCUGCUGGGUGUACAUAAUUAAGAUCAAAGAUGCAGAGGAUUCAUCUAUUUGGAGGGCAAUGUUGAAGACACCUGCCGAGUGGUUCUGA